CCCUUAGAUGUUCUGGGCCGCACGCGCGCUACACUGACGAAUGCAACGAGCUUAUAACCUUGGCCGAAAGGUCUGGGUAAUCUCCAAAUUUCGUCGUGAUGGGGAUAGAUUAUUGCAAUUAUUAAUCUUCAACGAGGAAUGCCUAGUAAGCGCAAGUCAUCAGCUUGCGUUGAUUACGUCCCUGCCCUUUGUACACACCGCCCGUCGCUCCUACCGAUUGAAUGGUUUAGUGAGGCCUCGGGACUGGCGCGCUCGAGUAGCAAUACACCUGCGCGCCGGGAACUUGGUCAAACUUGAUCAUUUAGAGGAAGUAAAAGUCGUANCA
rnacentral:rRNA from 1 species